UAAUGAUGCCAUGUAAGGUAUGUGCAAAGUGUUAGGCUGGAAGUGGAAAGCACAGACACUGCUGCAAAGAGGUUCCAGAAGGUCUCAGAGAAACAUGAUGACAAAGCCCAAGGUACCCUCUGCCAGCCAGAAGAAAUGGGCUAAAAGCCUCAGAAUUGCUGUUCCAAGUGUGUCUCACAGCUCUUGGUGCUGCUCCCCUCGAGGACAUGGACCAGGUCCUGGUGUGUUUGGGUUUGGUGCCUUUUUCCAAGGAAUGCUAAACAUUUCCUCACCUGCCUUGCUUGAGACAGUCAAAUAAAGUGCAGUGGACCAGUUUAAUUGGAAAAUGGGCACUGGAACAUCAGCUCAGUGUGUGGUGGAGAGAUACCAUCUCCUGUAUUUCGAGCUUGUCAACACCUCUGGGUCCAGAGCAGCAAACCUCCAGUGUCCUGCAUUGCACACACAGCCUUGGUGCUGCAGGGUGAGA